rnacentral:rRNA from 1 species
CCCUUAGAUGUUCUGGGCCGCACGCGCGCUACACUGAUGCAUUCAACGAGUUUCUUCCUGGUCCGAGAGGAAUGGGUAACCUUUUGAAAGUGCAUCGUGAUAGGGAUAGACUAUUGCAAUUAUUGGUCUUCAACGAGGAAUUCCUAGUAGACGUAGUUCAUCAGACUGCAUCGAUUACGUCCCUGCCCUUUGUACACACCGCCCGUCGCUCCUACCGAUUGAGUGUCCCAGUGAAUAAUUCGGACUGCAGCAUAGUUAGGAUCCCUAACCUUGCAGCGGGAAGUCUUGUAAACUUUGACACUUAGAGGAAGGAGAAGCCGUAACA